rnacentral:rRNA from 1 species
GAUGAACGCUGGCGGCGUGCCUAAUACAUGCAAGUCGAGCGAACGGACGAGAAGCUUGCUUCUCUGAUGUUAGCGGCGGACGGGGGAGUAACACGUGGAUAACCUACCUAUAAGACUGGGAGAACUUCGGGAAACCGGAGCUAAUACCGGAGGAUAUUUUGAACCGCAUGGUUCAAAAGUGAAAGACGGUCUUGCUGUCACUUAUGGAUGGAUCCGCGCUGCAUUAGCUAGUUGGUAAGGUAACGGCUUACCAAGGCAACGAUGCAUAGCCGACCUGAGAGGGUGAUCGGCCACACUGGAACUGCGACACGGUCCCGACUCCUACGGGAGGCAGCAGUAGGGAAUCUUCCGCAAUGGGCGAAAGCCUGACGGAGCAACGCCGCGUGAGUGAUGAAGGUCUUCGGCUCGUAAAACUCUGUUAUUAGGGAAGAACAUAUGUGUAAGUAACUGUGCACAUCUUGACGGUACCUAAUCAGAAAGCCACGGCUAACUACGUG